UCUUCUCGGAGCUGCUGUCCAACCUG
rnacentral:piRNA from 1 species